GCAUUAAUUGCAAGCAAAAGUUCAACAAAUCUCAACCAAAUUAAUUUGCAUUCAAAUAGCCUACAUUUGGUUUAUAUUAUAGGCUACACUGCACUGUAAAAAUGACUUUAAGUUAGGUGAAUGAGUCUAACCAUAGUCUUUGGACUAACUACACAACGAAUUAGAACAACUUGAACAUGAAUAGAAAUGGAAAACUAGAAAUAAUAGGUAGCCACACAGUGUCUUUUGCUUAAUGCGCAUGCGCCAAAAUACUACGUCAUGAUGGCGCACUACUUCAUAAUUAGCAUGUUUGUGUAAUCGCGAUGCAUUCCAUGAGGGAACAAACAAGAAGAGAACAAAGGAGCGCCACGUUUGAAUGAUUACAGAUGAGACAUUUGAACUGCAGACGAUGAAUCAAGUAUUUCUUGAUAGAAGCUUUCUUUAUUCUUAAUUUAGUCUUGACAUUCGUGCGGCUUUCACCAUAACGCGCCAGUUCUUACUAUAUGAACACAGGAGGAUCAGUACAGUUUUGUUACUGGAGAUAUGUUACAGUGUGGAAACACAGACCAGUACUGAAGAGGUAACAAACCAAAGGAUGAGGACAGUAAUUUUUUCUGUGCCAGCCGUGAUAAAUACAGAGAAGCUUGAACAUCUCUCAGGAUUCUACAACCACGUUGCCCUGAUGAUUGAGGUAAUGUUAAAUAAUCUCUUAGGCGAUGCAGAUGUGGUCAAAAGUUUACACACAAUGGUUGUUCUUCUAUUUUAUUUUAUUUUCUUUCCUCAAGGUAUUUUUUUCGGACUUUCCGGCCUCUUUGGAACAUUUCCGUUCACACAGACUGUGGAGAGAUGGUGUACAGCUUCAUGACAUUUGAAGUUUACUGCCGAUGGAGAGCUUCUGGGACAUUGACAGACAGCAUUAAUCCAUAAAUGUUGUCCGUGUGAUAGUUGGUAAUGCCACAGUGUUUGACUGGCUAAAAACUUUUUUUAUAUAUAUACUUAUAUACCUUACUGCAAAAGACUCUCAGUCAGAGGACAAAAGACAAAUAUAUUAAAACAUUACCCUCUGUGUUUGACCCAUAGUAAUAUUAGAUCUGGCUUUUAAAUUUGGGUUAAAUUUCUCAAAUUCUAUCUUUUUUAUUACAUUUGUCCACUGUAAUUGAACAGUUGUACAUGACAUUGAGGGUGCUACCACAGAGUGGCGCUGUGGUCAUUAAAAUCAUAAAUUAGUCAUAAAAUCUAACAAAGAAUCCAUUUUUCACUGGGCUAUCCUGUCGUUUACCAUUUCUGAGACAUUUAGUGGGCAACAGUGUGGAUAAACAUGGCAUUGUACAUAUGAAAUUAUGCAGCUCUGGUAUUGAUUUGAUUAAAUAAAUAAUACGAGAAUGUUAAUGUCUGAUGAUACUGUCAUAACACUGUACAAUAAACAGAGAGAACAUGAGCUGAAUUUAAAGACUGAAUCCUAAAUAUUGCUUUGCAUUUACUAGAAAUUUGACAAUUGUGAUCUGGUUCAGCCCUGUUUUCUCAUUUUUAUAUAAUUAUCUUGUGUCAAGAUGCUGCUUUAUAGGACAUGCAGUGUAUGUUUUCC
ensembl:lncRNA